GGGCGCGGGUCUUACGCGGGGGAUCGUCGCGGGUCCUCCGCGGGUCCUCCGCGGGUCCUCCGCGGGGGUAGUCGCGAUCCGCAACCAUCCCCAGCGAAAGGACUUCUUGUUUCGCGGUUGGCAUAGCUGCUUGGAGCGGCUCGCGACCGGCCGCUCGACGACCGACCGCUCGACCACCGACCGGUCGGUGCUCGGUCGGUGGCUGAAUUCGGACACACUCGAAGUGCACGCACACGCACAUACCCUGCGACGAGACUACUACGGGCAACACUGUUGUGGUUUUGCUCCGUACUUUGUUGUCAGGCUUUUGGUCGUUUGUGAGUUCGCGGAGGAAGACCGUCCAUGAGUUGCAUUUGCGCUUGACAUAUCAGCUACGCAGCCGUCAGCUGUCACCCAAUGUAUGCUAUAUCGGCGUCACAGCACAGCAUGAGAAAUGGCCCCUUUUUCUCAUGAUCACAGGAAUGAAUCUGGUCACCAAAGU